UCACAAUGCCCCAAUCAUGGACAUCAACAUAAAGGUUGAGUACAUUUACUUUAUAGUCACUGUUAAAAUGAGGCGGACUGGUUAUUCAUACAUUGGAUAUUACUUGUGUCUGUGGCUCACAAAUGGCAGUCAAUAGUGAUUAUUACCAACAAUUUCAUCUCAAACAUGCCAGGUUGCAUGUAUGUAAAAUGUUUUUUAAUAUGUAUUCCCACCCCCAAAGGCACAUCACAUGUAAAUAAAUAUGUUGUACAUAAGGUAAAAACUACAGAUAGAAAAUGUUUUUUUUUAUUAUUCAUACGGCGCCAAUAUACAUUUUGUUUCAAGAAAAUAUACAUAGUAAUUUUUUUUUUCUUUCCCCCUUCAGUUCAUUUGAGCAGUGUGGGCUACAUUCAUUGUAAACAAGCUAAACGUAAUCCUUAACAAUA